UAGGGAAUCUUCCGCAAUGGGCGAAAGCCUGAUCCAGCCAUGCCGCGUGAGUGAUGAAGGCCCUAGGGUUGUAAAGCUCUUUCACCGGUGAAGAUAAUGACGGUAACCGGAGAAGAAGCCCCGGCUAACUUCGUGCCAGCAGCCGCGGUAAUACGAAGGGGGCUAGCGUUGUUCGGAUUUACUGGGCGUAAAGCGCACGUAGGCGGACUAUUAAGUCAGGGGUGAAAUCCCGGGGCUCAACCCCGGAACUGCCUUUGAUACUGGUAGUCUUGAGUUCGAGAGAGGUGAGUGGAAUUCCGAGUGUAGAGGUGAAAUUCGUAGAUAUUCGGAGGAACACCAGUGGCGAAGGCGGCUCACUGGCUCGAUACUGACGCUGAGGUGCGAAAGCGUGGGGAGCAAACAGG
rnacentral:rRNA from 1 species